UCCAAGUGAAGCCAAUAGUCAGUCCGUUUCUCCAAGGCAAGGACUGAUGACGUUUCUCUCCCAGCGCCUAUUGAAACAAAGCCACUUACAGAGAAUGUUGAUUUUCAGCGUUGCCUCAGUGAAUUAAGUUUUGUUCCACGUCCAUGCUCAUGGAGGAGAGUUGACUCUGAAGAGGCAAGACUUGUGGUUUGGUUACAUACGAUUAGAGAUUCUGAGAGAAGCCUUUGUGAAGAUUCCUGCUAGCCAUUGUGAGGAUUGGAAAUGUGGAUGAGAGCCUUGCCAAGUUUAUGAGCCAAGAAAUAGCUGAAUUAUAAUGGCUGGAACUUCAAAGAGAAAGAAGAGUGAAAGGUAUUAAAAUAUUUUUGUAAAAAUCCCUGACUCUUGAAAUCAGCCAGGGCUGAUCGAUCUGAGACUAACAUAGUAAAUUUUAUGGAUAGGCCAGGGAGGGGGCUGAAUAUCUGGUGAUAAGAAGGUGCCCCCAGGUGGAGCCUUCUUGCCUAGUUAUUCUCAAUCUCUGGGGGGAAAAUGUGGCUAUAAGGGAGAAACAUGUCAGA